AAGCAUGUUGUGGACAUCUUCUCACCAAGUCUUUGAAUCUUUCCCAAGUCUCAAACAAUGAUUCUGAAUCAGCUUGUGCAAAUGAUAUCUCAUUUCAGAGUUU